rnacentral:misc_RNA from 1 species
GAAGUGCGAUAAGCAAUGCGAAUUGCAGAACCGUGAGUCAUCAGAUUUUUGAACGCAAUUGGCGCCGGUUGGUUCUCCAGCCGGCAUGCUUGUUUCAGUGUCUUGCUUCCUAACCUCACCAAUGACAAUCUUGACCUCAAAUCAGGUAGGACUACCCGCUGAACUUAA